UUCAGGAAGCUACAUUCAGAGGCAGACUUUUUGUAGACUGGGCUACAUUUGCAAGAUGGAAAGGUGCAUUAAGAGUUGGGUGACAUGACUUCAGAUGUUAAAGGGGUGAGUGCUUUCAAAGUCCUGCCCAUUCUGGAGGAAGGGUCCACAGAACCACAACCACAGAAUUCUGGAAGCCAUUCAUUGACAUACAAACCUGUGCAGACCAGCAUGGUGGAUUUGUGUCUUGGGGAUGAGACAACGACAUCCCAGACCUUCGCCCUUUGUUACGGACUGUGCCACUGAAGCCACUGACUUGUUGCCUGGGAAUUUCUCCAGCUUGCAGUAUAUUAUAUUGAUGGACAUAAGUCUUCAUGUGUGAUUUUUUUUUUUUUUUUUAAGGCCAACAGUUUUUUCUGGCCACCUGUAACAUGUUUUAAAUUGUCAUAUGUAUUGUCUGGUGGACACUUGAUUUGGCUUAGUUUUAAUAGCACAAUGUUUGGAACGAUUCUCAUGUGGUAAUCAUUCAUUUUUGAGUGUUCUGCUGCUGCAAUGUUGACAAAGAAUCGGAAUCUACAGUGCCUAGUUUACACAGUUUUGUGUUUUAAAGUAACUGAUCUACUAAAAUUAUUGUUUUAUGUGUCUGUAAUGGUUGGAUAAAAUGUU